AAAGUUUGAGGUGAUUUUAACUAAGGUUGUGGACUUGUGAUCAAUUUUAAAAUGAGCCAAUUUCUGUAAAAUACCCCAUACUAUAGCCCAUAUCUUUUCAAUUCCAAAAUUUUUGACAUAUCUGACUAGUCAACUGCUAAAUCACGUUUACAAGUUAGUGACAAAGUUAAGCAUGUGGUAGUAAAUGCCUAUUAAGUAGUUAAUUUACACUUUUAAAAUAAAUUGAUAUUACUAUUAUAUUUAUUAGGCUGUACUUCUGUCACAUCACAAUCAACAAGUACAGGAUGUAUCAUCAGUGUUGCUAUUGCAUUACCUAUCACUGGUCUAUUAACUGGACUCAUUACAUCAAUAAUUACUAGCAUCAUUGUAUACUGUAUAAUGAAGAAUAAAGGGAAUA